UACACACCCUCAAAAUUCAUAUAAAUACUCCCAAGGCAUUGAGCUUGUAAUUCAAGUUUCAAAAAAAAAAAAAAAAAACUCUCAAAAUUUUUAGUACGUAAUAAUUCUUAUCAAUAUGGCAGUAGUACUCUCCAAUAUCUCCAUAAGGUCCAUAGUGAUUACACUUAUGAUCUAUGCUAUUUUCUUGUCUCCCUUGCUACUCUCGUCCUGCGAUGCAUCUCGAGCACUCAAGGCGAACAAGUUUCCCGUUGCAUGUAUUCAGAACUGUGUGGGGUGUUGUGAUCCACCACCACCGGGUACCUGCUGCACCCGCUGUGGUUGUUGAAGUUUGAUCUUCUUUACAUAUCAGAAUUAUAGAACAAUAAGUUUGAUCUGCAAUUGGUGUGUCUUUGAGUCAUAUAUAUACGUACAUGUUAUACAAUAAAGAAGGAACUUAUUGGUUUCUUUAGGUUUAUUAUAGGAGUAUUAUGUGUACCUUGUGGGAAACAAUCUUUGUAACGUACUGAUAAAAAAAAACUUCUGAGAAGGAAAACCUAUUUAGUCU